UCUCUCUCUCUCUCUCUCUCUCUCUCUCUCUCUCUGUCUCUCUCUCUCUCUCUCUCUCUCUCUCUCUCUCUCUCUCUCUCUCUCUCUCUCUCUCUCUCUCUCUCUCUCUCUCUCUCUCUCUCUCUCUCUCUCUCUCUCUCUCUCUCUCUCUCUCUCUCUCUCUCUCUCUCUCUCUCUCUCUCUCUCUCUCUCUCUCUCUCUCUCUCUCUCUCUCUCUCUCUCUCUCUCUCUCUCACCAUUGGUAAGUAUUAAGAAAACUACCCAGCUCACAACAGCUGAAAUAAUUUCAUUAUUUUUCCUGCUAGAUUUUGGUAUGUUCUCAAUCUGCUAACAAUUUUUUGUAGCAAAUCAUUUUUUUUUUUUUUUUUACCCUCUUCCUUCAACCCCCUCAGACACUGAUGAUUUGCAAGGAAAUGAUGGUCAGAUCAAGACAAAAUGUGCCAAAAUGUUGCAUCCUCACUGACACACACACACACACACACACACACACACACACACACACACACACACACACACACACACACACACACCAAUACCUGUCGCUGUUCACAGUGAUGCACUGCGGUCACUGGUGACGGAGCGUCAUGCUGGUCUCCCGCCACGGCACUCUUGGGUGUUAACAGACCAAACCUAACCUAACCUAAUGGGGCCACUGUCCCAUUGGGGUGGCACUUAAUUUGUCAGGGAAGGUGGUCAGGGGACUGGGGGGAGUGAUGGAGGGAGUGCAGACCUGGCCUGUUGUUGCAUGGGAGGGGCAGGAAGCAGGGUGUGUGUGUGUGUGUGUGUGUGUGUGUGUGUGUUGCAGGCGGGGACAGUGUGUUAGGCAGCGCUUGGCCCAGUGUGUGCUGACUGUCACUGUUGUUCCAGGUGCCAGGCAGAGCCCAGGCGGCACGCCCUGCUCACUGCCAACCAAUCUUGUGUCUGACUUCCUGCAGAUUUGGCUGCGGCGUGUGCUGGCGGGAGUGGUGCUAUGGUGGAGGUUGUGAGGCCGGGCAGCAGCAUGAGUGGCCGGUGGCAGCAGCAGCAGUCUGCCUCAGGUGUGGGGAGACGCAGGUGUGGUGGCAAGAAUCACCUGGAGGCAGGCAGCUCUGUCCACAGAGGAGAGAGCAAGUUUGAGUGCCAGCAGUGUGACAAAACUUUUGUAUCCAGACAAGGCCUUAAGUACCACACCCUGACACACAGUGGUGUUAGAAAUUAUGAGUGUGGUGAGUGUAGCAAGAAAUUUACAAGAAAGUCUAACCUCACCAGACACACCCUGACACACAGUGGUGUUAGAAAUUAUCAGUGUGAUAAGUGUGGAAAGAAAUUUACCACUAAGUCUUACCUCACCACACACACCCUGACACACAGUGGUGUUACAAAUUAUGAGUGUGAUGAGUGUGGGAAGAAAUUUACCCACAAGUCUUCCCUCACCACACACACCCUGACACACAGUGGUGUUAAGAAUUAUGAGUGUGACGAGUGUGGAAAGAAAUUUACCCACAAGUCUUCCCUCACCACACACACCCUGACACACAGUGGUGUUAAGAAUUAUGAGUGUGAUGAGUGUGGCAAAAGAUUUCCUACCAUUUCUCAUCUCAAUAAACACACCUUCAGACACACUGGCUUGAGGGAGUUCAAGUGUGAUGUUUGUGGCAAGUGUUUCAAGACAAGGGGUUGAUAUUGCCAGGCACAUGAGGGUCCACUUUUGAGGUGUGUUGUAUGCAUGAGUGGGACCACACCCAUGCCUGUGAUGGUGGUGGUGGUGAUGGUGGUGGUGGCAGUGGCGGCAGUGGUGGCAACCGUGCCUGUGUGUGCUGUGAGGGAAUAAUGGCCCCAGCAAUUGUUUUGUGUGGUGGUGGUGGCGGUGGCGGCCAUGCCCAGGUGUGCUGUGAGGGAGCAGUGGCCGCAGCAGUUGUUUUGUUGGCAGUGCAGGUGUGACUUUCAAUAAAUGUGUGUGUAACAUCAUGCCACGUUCUUUUCCUUUUUGAGUGGUGGUGUGUCGGCUCCCUGUGUCUGGUGUUUGCUGCGCCAAGUUGUGGCAGCCACAAGCAUUGCCCCACACUUGCUUCGCUGGAUCUGAGCGGCCGCAUCCCUCACCACUCCGCCGGCCUGUCGGUGCUCUCUUGUGUGCACUGGGUGUGCCUGAGCCGUUGUGCUGACGCUGGGGAGUCUUCGGCAAGCACAAGUGUCUUGCGUGGUGGUAUUGCCUCUACUGCUGUACUGUUUGGGAGCCCUAAACUCCACCUGCUUGUAAUGUUCGUGAUCUCUCUAACUUCAUGAGAUCUCCCUCCCGGUAAUGACACCGCCGUGUGCACAGCGCCUCGCCUCCCGCUCCUCCAACCCAGCGCACUGGUCACCACAUUGGUAUUGCAAGGUUUCUGAGUGAUAAAGUGGGUCUACCUGUCACAUGAGUUACUCCAGAGAUGUUUCAAAGUUUAUAAGUAGGUUUUACAAGGGUUAUAAGUGGGUAUUACAAAAUCUUAGUGGUAUUAGUAGUACUAGUGGUAUUAGCUACAGAGGCAAGACGAGGUGUGAAGUGGUUGUACCUGUCAUGGCAGCCACUACAGGGUUAUUACAAGGUCAAUAAGUGUGCUAUACAAGGGUUAAGUAGUUUUACUCGCAAUAUUUCCCGACCAAUCAAAGGCUACAACGAAGCUGCCAAGUGGUUCUGUCUGUCAUUAGCCACAACAGGCAUUUCAGACUGGUUGUGGUUCCAGCUGCUGCAUUACAAGGUUAACAUAACAGCGUAGGCAAUGGUCGGUAUUACAGCCGUCAUGUUGGUCACCACAGAGAUAUUGCAAGAUAUAUACGUGGUUGAGUGGUGCUGUAUUAGUCAGGGGAAGUGGGGAUGUGUUUAACGAAGCUUUUAAGUGGUUUCACCUGUCAGGUUAGCCGCCACAGAUGUAAUUUACACUGUGGUUAAGUAAUUACAUCUGCCGUAUCAGUUAUCACAGGUAUUUGAAGGUUUAUAAGCAAUUACACUCGUCAUACUAAUGAUGAGCUCAGGUGUUACGAGGUUCAUGAGUGACAAGAUGGUUCCCUCUGCCUCGCCAGACUCGCAGCACCCACCCCGCCUCUCUGCUUCAGUCACCAGCCUGCCCCUCCCUCCCUCCUUGCCUUCCUCCCACCCCCUGGACAGGCAGCGUGCAGGCUUGGUAGACACAGAUGAAGCAUUCCUUCCCCAGCACUUGCCUUCACACCCACGGCCACGCGCCCCUCCGUCACAGCGUUAACCACCCAACAAGCACCGCAUCACAGCCAGGCGGGGUACAACUGCCAUCAUGAUAGUUUGCAUCAACGACCCAACAAUACCCAAUUAUCUGCCACUACACACGAGUAAUGUGUGCGUGGCUUCAUUAUCUUGUACAGAGAGAGAGAGAGAGAGAGAGAGAGAGAGAGAGAGAGAGUUUGUUAAUUUAUUGCGCCAGUCUACAGAAAACACCAUACAAAACUACUCCUGACAGUAUAAAUUGAUAAUUCAGAUAAUGACCUGAUGAAGGCAAGCAGGUUAUGGUCUGGCAGCGUAUCAAAGGGAGUGACAGCAGACAUAAAUGAAUUAACGGUGCUGGUUUAGCUUGUUAACUACCUGUCAUGAAUUAACGGUGCUAGUUUGGCUUGUUAACUACCUGUCAUGAAUUAACGGUGCUGGUUUGGCUUGUUAACUACCUGUCAUGAAUUAACGGUGCUACUUUGGCUUG